rnacentral:rRNA from 1 species
UACAGAGGGGGCGAGCGUUGUUCGGAAUUACUGGGCGUAAAGGGCGCGUAGGCGGCCAACUAAGUCGGAUGUGAAAUCCCCAGGCUUAACCUGGGAACUGCAUCCGAUACUGGAUGGCUUGAAUCCGGGAGAGGGAUGCAGAAUUCCAGGUGUAGCGGUGAAAUGCGUAGAUAUCUGGAGGAAUACCGGUGGCGAAGGCGGCAUCCUGGACCGGCAUUGACGCUGAGUGAGCGAAAGCCAGGGGAGCAAACGGG